CCUACGGGGGGCAGCAGUGGGGAAUAUUGGGCAAUGGGCGCAAGCCUGACCCAGCAACGCCGCGUGAAGGAAGAAGGCUUUCUGGUUGUUAACUUCUUUUUGGAGGGAAGAGCAGAAGACGGUACGUCUUGAAUAAGCCACGGCUAACUACGUGCCAGCAGCCGCGGUAAUACGGAGGUGGCAAGUGUUUUCCGGAUUUACUGGGUGUAAAGGGCGUGCAGCCGGGAAGACAAGUCAGAUGUGAAAUCCCGCGGCUCAACCGCGGAACUGCAUUUGAAACUGUUUUUCUUGAGUCCCGGAGAGGUAAGCGGAAUUCCUUGUGUAGCGGUGAAAUGCUUAGAUAUAAGGAAGAACACCGGUUGCGAAGGCGGAUGACUGGACGGCAACUGACGGUGAGGCACGAAAGCGUGGGGAGCAAACAGGAUUAGAUACCCUGGUAGUC
rnacentral:rRNA from 1 species